rnacentral:rRNA from 1 species
CACCGCGGUUAUACGAAAAACCCGAAACAACGGCCCCCGGCGUAAAGCGUGACUAGAGACAGUUAAACUUUAAUGGAAAACCGUCGCCCAGCCGUAAAACGCCCCUGCGAAUUGGAAACCCACCAACAAAAUGCCCUUAAACAAAAAACCGCUUGACCUCACGAAAGCUGAGAAA